GAUGAACGCUGGCGGCGUGCCUAAUACAUGCAAGUCGAGCGAACAGACGAGGAGCUUGCUCCUCUGACGUUAGCGGCGGACGGGUGAGUAACACGUGGAUAACCUACCUAUAAGACUGGGAUAACUUCGGGAAACCGGAGCUAAUACCGGAUAAUAUAUUGAACCGCAUGGUUCAAUAGUGAAAGACGGUUUUGCUGUCACUUAUAGAUGGAUCCGCGCCGCAUUAGCUAGUUGGUAAGGUAACGGCUUACCAAGGCGACGAUGCGUAGCCGAUCUGAGAGGGUGAUCGGCCACACUGGAACUGAGACACGGUCCAGACUCCUACGGGAGGCAGCAGUAGGGAAUCUUCCGCAAUGGGCGAAAGCCUGACGGAGCAACGCCGCGUGAGUGAUGAAGGUCUUCGGAUCGUAAAACUCUGUUAUUAGGGAAGAACAAAGGUGUAAGUAACCGUGCACGACUUGACGGUACCUAAACAGAAAGCCACGGCUAACUACGUG
rnacentral:rRNA from 1 species